UAAAAAAAAAAAAAAAGUGUGUGGAUCUGCAAGACUCUCCAAAGCAGUUCUCUCUAGUGAGCACAACAUCCUUGAUACAAAUUUCCCCCUCCCCUCCACUCCCCACAUUCAGGACAAGGGAGGCGCUGGCCCUCUCGCCCCCUGGCGGUCUGUCUAGCUCCCGGCAGCCUCGGAAAGCCCAGGACAGUAGGGCAGUGUACUUGCGACCGACCCCGCCCAUCGGCUCCUGGGGAGC
rnacentral:lncRNA from 1 species